CAGCAGCCGCGGUAAUACGAAGGGGGCUAGCGUUGCUCGGAAUGACUGGGCGUAAAGCGCACGUAGGCGGCUUUGUAAGUUAGAGGUGAAAGCCUGGGGCUCAACUCCAGAAUUGCCUUUAAGACUGCAUCGCUUGAACGUCGGAGAGGUGAGUGGAAUUCCGAGUGUAGAGGUGAAAUUCGUAGAUAUUCGGAAGGAACACCUGUGGCGAAAGCGGCUCACUGGACCAUUACUGACGCUGAGGCGCGAAAGCUAGGGGAGCAAACAGGAUUAGAUACCCCGGUAGUCCCUGUCUCUUAUA
rnacentral:rRNA from 1 species